CUCAGCAACAAAACCGAUCUGCUCGCGACACGGACGUUCUUUCUCGUCUUGCAUGACUGGGCUCUUGAGUCCUUCGGCCGUGGCCUCGGUCCGUAUUCUAUCUUCAUUACACGCUUUUAACUUUUGCAGUCUCUUGCAUACUCAUGACCAACCGGAACCAGAGGUGCAACAACUGGUGGCAGCGACGGGAUAUCUGAAGCCGGAAGGGUGCUUCCAGACGCAAACAUCGAGCGCUUACUCGGGUGGAGUCCAUGGUACCAGAAGCCAGCAGGGUGCUUCCAGACGCAAACAUCGAGCGCUUACUCGGGUGGAGUCCAUGGUACCUGAAGCCAGCAGGGUGCUUCCAGACACAAACAUCGAGGCUUACUUGGGUGUAGUCCAUGUUCUUCGGGCAUUAACUGGUGAGCGGUUGGGGUUUCCAUGAGCCACGCCAAGCUCAAAAUUUUCAGUCGUUCGAUUUUGGCACGUGCGCAUUAGGACUAGCAUUUUAGAACAUAGACUUACCGCUGCCAUUAUGGAUCUGAAGUCUCCUGCUACUAUGUAAGGAAUUAGGAAUAAGUGCUGAGAAGUCCAGGCGAAAGCAGGAGCUGGUGGCUGCUAUACAGGCUUCAGGAGUAUAAGCGGACGAGCUUGAGGAAUGCUUUGAAGUUAUCCAGAAGGCUAAGGAAAGGGAAGAGGCUUAACUUCUGGAACGAAGAUUGAGGAUGCUACUAGAAAGCAAAAUAUAGAACGGGAGCUUAACUUAAGCUGGAACUAGAUAUGAGGAGUUUGGACAAUUCAAGUGAAGUUAGUUUUGUGGACAAUGGGAAGUCAAGAUCUCUAAACUUUUGCAGCCUUACAAAGUGGGGUAUGAUAUUGGGUUAUUUCUCAUUAACCUUGAGAGGACGUGCGAGAAAGUCAGUAUACCCCAAAAUUCGUGGAGUUGAGUCGGCGAAUAUUGUCGGUGGUACCUUGUGAAUCAGCUAGUGAUUGCUCGUCUGAGCAAGAAAGACUCAGAGGACACAAAAGUAAAUGAUUCCCUUCUGAGAGAGUAUACUUUGUCAACAGAGGCAGUUAGAAAUUAAAGCUGGAGAAAGUUACUCUGAACAAGUCUAAUGUGAAAGCAACUAUGGUAGAGUGGUUAAAAAGGGCGAAUGGGGGGCUUAUGACCAGAAAGAGAAAGUUCUGAACUGUUUCUGCAUGGAACAAUUCUAUCGAGGAAUACCCAACAGAGUACAAGGCUUUGGGUUCAAGAUAGAACGGACGUUGAAACCGUUGAGAAAGAAGCAGAGCUUGCUCAGGAUUUUGUAAUGCACCGUGAGGACCGUCAACGUAAGACAUUAAGCAGGGAGGAAGAGACAGCUGAAAUCCCUCAGUUAUCGAAGGAAACAGUAGAUCAUGAAGGAACUUCAAAAGAGGAGGAAAGCACACGCAGGGACGUAAAAGUGAAGGCUUAUGAAGCGAGGCGACAAAUUGCAAUAAUAUGGGACAUAUCGCUGCAAAAUGCCCAAAACCUAAAAUGGUAUUUUCGUAUGUUGCUGACGAUGAAAAUAUCGACGCUGUUGGGGCCAUAUAUGCGUGAUUUGGAGGUGAAUGGGAAACCAUGUAGUCUCUGUGAUUCGGCUUCUACCAUGGAUAUAGUGCACGCUUCAUACGUGAAGGGUCAUGAUUUUACGGGGACAGUGUGGGGAUAAAACAAGUAGUAGCGAAGGUUUGCAUCAAAGGCCCGUAUGGCGAGCUGCACACAGAAGGAGCAGUUUCCCAAAACCUGUCUAAAUCGUACCCGUAUGUUUUCUCAAAUCGCUCUGAAGAACUUUUGUAAGAAAAAGGACUCGGCUAUGGAGACGGAGUCGUUCAAAGUUAAAAUUCGACAGUGACAAAACUGCGGCGGAUUCGGGAAACAAAUGCAUCUUAACUAGGACCUGUCCGGCGACAAAAUUCCCUGAAGCAGUUCCGAUGAAGCACGGAACAUCUCCAGGAAUAGUGGAUGCUUUAUGGUCAGUCUUGGCGAGUCAGAUGUCCGGCAGAGGUUCAGUCACUUCAGGGGAGCGAUUUCACGAGCGACUUGACUAGCACGUUCUUUGAGAGAUGUGGUAUCGAGGUGAUCCACAGUUCGGUAAACUUGGAAACCGAUAGACAAGGAAAACUUCAUGGAAAAGCAGAUUGUUUGAGUCCUUACUCCUGCGGUUUAAAAGUUUAGCAGUACGGCUUGCGGAAUCGUGGAUGGUGUUUGCACAGCGUAAACCUAUCUUUUCUUGUUUUGCAAAGAUUGGAUUGUCUUGGUGUGUGUUGGGUGAACCCGCCGUUUCCUGUUGAUGUCUGAGGGACUGGAUUUUCACUUGAGUAAUUGCUUUCGUUCUUGCAAGACAAGACAGACACUGAGCUCUGUGCCGUGCCAGUUGCCCCGAAAGCAUCUACGAAGCCUGCUGCAACUGGCGGCCAAGAUCUUCUAGCGCCGAUCUCCCGGGCGGCGGAGGCGCUGUAACGACCGCCAUACCCAGCGCCAUCGUUACCUCAAGCACUGCCAGCACUACCUAUAUGGUCAUCAUCGAGGCACGAAGGGCUGAGCAAGAAAACCGAUCUGCUCGCGACGCGGACGUUCCUUCUCGUCUUGCAUGACUGGGCUCUUCGGCCGUGGCCUCGGGCCGUAUUCUAUCUUCGUUAAACGCUUUAACUCUUGCAGUCUCUUGCAUGCUAAUGACCAACCGGAAGCCGAGGUGGAACAGACGGAUGCAGACGAAACUUGCGGACGAACUCAUUCUUGCGGGGUGACCAAAGGACACUGCCAAUUUGGAACCCGCCGUGCGGCAGUAUUUCUCGAGACGUUUCAAAUGAAAUCUUUUCGAAUAAUCGCGUGGUAAUUUCCACAUGUUUCCCGCAUGUUGUUCACUGCUGCACGAGUGUCAUCAAGGGAUAUACGCAAUGAAAGCUGUUGCUCGUUCAACGUUCUGGUGGUCCGGACUGGAUAAAAAAUAUCCAGAUCUAUCCAGGAACUGCCAGCGGCGAUGAUGCCCCCAGCGACGGAGCCAGUUCCAUGGCCUACAUCAAAGGAACCCUGGACUCGAGUGCACACAGACCUUGCGGGAACCAUUCAAGGAAGAUGAUUGUGGUGGCAGUGAACUCCACAAGUGGAUGGAGGCACUAGUGAUGACCAUGACUACAUCGAAAGCUACAGUAGAGAAGCCCUCUACAACCAUCGGAAGCACUUUUCGGAUAUCUCAUCCGACCUCUCCUGGCCUUGCUCGCGCCCACACCGCCAGUGACGACCAGCCGAAGCAAGACUGUCCCGUUCGAGCUGGAGACAAGGUCUACGCCCGCAACUACGCCGCUGGACACCAGUGGCUUCCCGGAUACGUCCGCGAAACUUCCUGGUCCCGUACUGUGACAAUCCAGACACCUUCGACCAAAGUUAUACGACGUCACGUCGACCAGGUGCAUGACCGCAUCACCAGAGUCCCCUCCACCUCAAGUGCCGGAAACGGCAGUCUCCGUGGAAACUCCGCAAUUCCUACGACGGUCCACAAUAAUCCGGAAACCAGUAAACAGGUAUUCAUCGAAGGGUGGAAGAAUGAUGUGUAUCUGUCUACGCGCUGCCUAACCAGUCACACGUGUUUGUACUCCGGUUUAGUCUCACUAUUUAAGCCGACACGCAAUAAAUCUUGCGGUUGUUGUUCCGCUUUCUCUACGUAGCA